AGUGAACGCUGGCGGUAGGCCUAACACAUGCAAGUCGAACGGCCGCACAGUAAGAUCUUGCUCUUACGGGUGGCGAGUGGCGGACGGGUGAGGAAUAGAUCGGAAUCUACUUUUUCGUGGGGGAUAACGUAGGGAAACUUACGCUAAUACCUCAUACGACCUACGGGUGAAAGCAGGGGAUCUUCGGACCUUGCGCGAUUGAAUGAGCCGAUGUCGGAUUAGCUAGUUGGCGGGGUAAAGGCCCACCAAGGCGACGAUCCGUAGCUGGUCUGAGAGGAUGAUCAGCCACACUGGAACUGAGACACGGUCCAGACUCCUACGGGAGGCAGCAGUGGGGAAUAUUGGACAAUGGGCGCAAGCCUGAUCCAGCCAUACCGCGUGAGUGAAGAAGGCCUUCGGGUUGUAAAACCCUUUUGUUGGGAAAGAAAAGCAGCAGGUGAAUACCCCGCUGUUCUGACGGUACCCAAAGAAUAAGCACCGGCUAACUUCGUG
rnacentral:rRNA from 1 species